GAUGAACGCUGGCGGCGUGCCUAAUACAUGCAAGUCGAGCGAACAGAUAAGGAGCUUGCUCCUUUGACGUUAGCGGCGGACGGGUGAGUAACACGUGGGUAACCUACCUAUAAGACUGGGAUAACUUCGGGAAACCGGAGCUAAUACCGGAUAAUAUUUCGAACCGCAUGGUUCGAUAGUGAAAGAUGGUUUUGCUAUCACUUAUAGAUGGACCCGCGCCGUACUAGCUAGUUGGUAAGGUAACGGCUUACCAAGGCGACGAUACGUAGCCGACCUGCGAGGGUGAUCGGCCACACUGGAACUGAGACACGGUCCAGACUCCUACGGGAGGCAGCAGUAGGGAAUCUUCCGCAAUGGGCGAAAGCCUGACGGAGCAACGCCGCGUGAGUGAUGAAGGUCUUCGGAUCGUAAAACUCUGUUAUUAGGGAAGAACAUACGUGUAAGUAACUGUGCACGUCUUGACGGUACCUAAUCAGAAAGCCACGGCUAACUACGUG
rnacentral:rRNA from 1 species